rnacentral:rRNA from 1 species
AUUGGAAACAGUGGCUAAGACUGGAUAGGAAGAUAAAAGGCAUCUUUUAUCUUUUAAAAGACCUAGUAAUAGGUAUGCUUUAGGAGGGGCUUGCGCCAUAUUAGUUAGUUGGUAGGGUAAUGGCCUACCAAGACGAUGAUGUGUAGCUGGACUGAGAGGUUGAACAGCCACAUUGGGACUGAGACACGGCCCAAACUCCUACGGGAGGCAGCAGUAGGGAAUUUUCGGCAAUGGAGGAAACUCUGACCGAGCAACGCCGCGUGAAUGACGAAGUACUUCGGUAUGUAAAGUUCUUUUAUCAAGGAAGAAAAGCAAAUGGCGAACCAUUUGUUUGCCGGUACUUGAUGAAUAAGCCCCGGCUAAUUAUGUGCCAGCAGCCGCGGUAAGACAUAAGGGGCAAGUGUUAUCCGGAAUUAUUGGGCGUAAAGGGUGCGUAGGCGGUCUAGUAAGUCAGUGGUGUAAUGGCAACGCUUAACGUUGUCCGGCUAUUGAAACUGCUAAACUUGAGUUAGAUAGAGGCGAGUGGAAUUCCAUGUGUAGCGGUAAAAUGCGUAAAUAUAUGGAGGAACACCAGAGGCGUAGGCGGCUCGCUGGGUCUUAACUGACGCUGAGGCACGAAAGCGUGGGGAGCAAACAGGAUUAGAUACCCUGGUAGUCCACGCCGUAAACGAUGAGUACUAAGUGUCGGGUUAAACCGGUACUGAAGUUAACACAUUAAGUACUCCGCCUGAGUAGUACGUACGCAAGUAUGAAACUUAAAGGAAUUGACGGGACUCCGCACAAGCGGUGGAUCAUGUUGUUUAAUUCGAAGAUACCCGAAAAACCUUACCAGGUCUUGACAUGUUUUUGCAAAAUGAUAGUAAUAUCGUGGAGGUUACCAGAAACACAGGUGGUGCAUGGUUGUCGUCAGCUCGUGUCGUGAGAUGUUAGGUUAAGUCCUAAAACGAGCGAAACCCUUAUCGUUAGUUGCCAGCACGUUAUGGUGGGGACUUUAACGAGACUGCCAAUGAUAAAUUGGAGGAAGGUGAGGAUCACGUCAAAUCAGCAUGCCCCUUAUGACCUGGGCUACAAACGUGAUACAAUGGCUGUUACAAAGGGUAGCUGAAACGCAAGUUCUUGGCCAAUCCCCAAAAACAGUCCCAGUCCGGAUUGAAGUCUGCAACUCGACUUCAUGAAGUUGGAAUCGCUAGUAAUCGCGAAUCAGCAUGUCGCGGUGAAUACGUUCUCGGGGUUUGUACACACCGCCCGUCAAACCACGAAAGUU